rnacentral:tRNA from 2 species
CUUAUAUUCAAUAAUGAUAUGAAAUUGCAAAUUUUAAGGUGUAAAGUAUACUAAGGCUUAAA